ACUGAGAGCAGAACAGAACACAAUCUUCAUCGUCACACAAGACAAAAGAACAACAAUGAACACAAUCACCUUCUUCAUCUGGACUCUGACUCUCUGCAUUCAGGAGAGCUGGGGACAAGUGACAGUGACUCAGAAUCCAACAAUAAAAUCCAUCAAACAAGGAGAAACUGUUACAAUCAGCUGUAAAACCAGUCAGCCGAUUUCUGGCUGUAAUGACUGUGUGUCUUGGUAUCAGCAGAAACCUGGAGAAGCUCCUAAACUCCUCAUUUAUUACAUAAGAAGCCUUCAGUCAGGAACUCCAUCUAGAUUCAGUGGCAGUGGAUCUGACUAUGGCAGUGAUUUUACUCUGACCAUCAGUGGAGUCCAGACUGAAGAUACAGGAGAUUAUUACUGUCUGAGUGAACACAGCAUCAACAGUAACUGGGUGUACACAUUCGGUGGAGGAACUAAACUGGUGCUCGCUGGUCCCACAGUGAAGCCCUCAGUGUCUCUGCUGCCGCCCUCUUCUCUGCAGAUCUCUGGAGACUCAGCCGCACUGCUCUGCCUGCUCAGCUCUUACUCUCCACAGGGGGCGCUGGUGAGCUGGACACUGGACGGGUCAGAGGUCACCGAGGGGGUCGUGACCAGCGCAGAGAGCCAGCGGGACGGCCGCUACAGCCGCAGUAGCGUCCUGACCCUCAGCAAAGCACGCUGGGAACAGGGAGAGGUGUACGUCUGCAGAGUAACACAUGAUGGAGCUCCUCAUGAGGUCUCGUUCCACAAGAGCUCUGAGUGCUGAUGUUUCUCUCCUGAAGAUGAGCCGUAUCUGAGUGUCCUGUGUCAGGCAGGAUUCACAUGAGUCUAGUGCUGCAGCUGUAGUGAUUUACAACUCAAUACUGAAAGAGAGCUGGCGUGUCAAAGCACUGUGUGAUCUUUCAAUCUGCUGUAACAUUCAAUAAAGCUUCUCAACAAGUUCA